CACGGAGUUAGCCGAUGCUUUUUCUCCAGGUACUCUCCUUCCGUCCACACGUGGACGGCAUUGCUCCCUGGCAAAAGAGGUUUACGACCCGUAGGGCCUUAUUCCCUCACGCGACUUGGCUGGUUCAGCCUUCCGGCCAUUGACCAAUAUUCCUCACUGCUGCCUCCCGUAGGAGUUUGGACCGUGUCUCAGUUCCAAUGUGGGGGACCUUCCUCUCAGAACCCCUACGCAUCGUCGGCUUGGUGGGCCGUUGCCCCACCAACUACCUAAUGCGCCGCAUGCCCAUCCGUGACCGGGGUCGCCCCCUUUGGCCGGCAGGGGAUCGUCCCCUCCCGGCAUUACUGUUGUAUUAGGCGGGUAUUUCUUCCGGUUAUCCAUCUGUCACGGCCAGGUUGCAUACGUGUUACUCACCCGUGCGCCGGUCGCCGGCGCAGAAGCAAGCUCCUACCCCGCUCGCCCCUCGACUUGCAUGUGUAGCCUGUCGCUAGCGUUCAUCCUGACGCCAGGACUACAAACUCUA
rnacentral:rRNA from 1 species